GACGGAACGCAGGCGUUAGGUUCACCCAAACGUCACGUCCGGGAUGUCGCAUUCGUUCUUUGUUUUUCGCGUCCGUGAUGUCACAUCCGUCUUUGGUUUUGGCGGCAGAAUGGCAAGCUCAAAGGUGGCCAAAGAACGUAAUCGGAAGAGGUGAUGAGACGAAUGCGUUCUUCGUGGUUAGGAAAAGAAUUGCCAGUGGCAUCCAGUUGUGUGAGGCGCUGACGACAAGAGAUAGAAGCAGACGCCAAAGAAGUCCCACCCCAAGAUGAGUUCAUGGGUCACUCACGAAAUACCGCAAAAACAAUGUGGUGAAGAAUUUAGUCUAUGGACACACGAACAGUACACGGUGCGAUUGGACGAAUAAUAACGUUGGCUGCUGCACAAAGAGAAAGGCCGGAGUAAGGCAAUUCUUGUGUUUUAUAGAGUCCCGAACAGUCACAUGGCAAUAAUCGCCAAGCGUCUUGUAACAUGGAGCCACCUCAGAAUUGCACCAAACAAAGAUGAUAGAUGCAGCCAGUCUAGCCAGAUAACUACAUUUUGACUAUUCUGUAUUGUUUGCAUUUAUUGUGCAAAAGGAAUUCUCGCAGAGAGUUUUAUCUUCAGUGGCCUUCAGUUGACGUCAUCUGCUACAACUAGCACAUAAGUUAACUCCAUAGCACCACUAGGAUGGAGACAUUGUGUCGUGGGAUGCUUCCUUAAAAGUGGGCAAGAAGAUUCUAAAGGAAAAGUGUGAGAUGGUCACAGUAAUAACCAAGGCAUUUGGCAUGGGAAUGACCCAGCUAUGAAGGUAUUAUCAGAUGUGGACAAGCAUAUAAUACUAAAUGGCGCCUUGCACGAGUCCCAAGUGUCAAAUGUAAUGAGUAUUGUGCAUUGAAAGGGCCAAAAAUGUUUUGUACAUGCAAGGGAACACUAUGGGCAUUUGAUAGCAGUUGCUUAGAUGUACUACAUUAAAAGGAACCAAACGAAUUCCCUUAGACAUAAGCAUGCAGCAAAUUCAAGGACUAGAUGAAGCUUCAAAAAAACUGCAUUUCAUGUAGGAUAGGUGUGAAUGACCUUUGUGCAUGAGAUCAGUGACAAAAACACUAAAUGAAUGCAGUACAGUGUCUGUAUCAUAUCUUGUGCAGACCAAACUAGCCUGGAGUUUCAGCAUUCCUUGUCAGUACAUUUAAAUAGGCACAACAUUGUUCAAAGUGCAAUAUUCUUCUACAAAACAUAAUAUGCAAGAUGUAGCAUGCUAACUCUCGUGGCUCAACAACUACUGAACCGAAACCUCAAUGAGCAGUGAAGCGUCCUUGUAAUUUUCAUCGUAACCAUACUUUUGCUCUUGAAAGUGAACCUCUUUAGUGAAUUUGCUUGUGUAUUAAUUUUUCUUUAGGCAAGUAUUUUUUAUACAUGUUAAUGUCUCAAUCCUGCUUUCUCUUUCCGGAGCUAAAACAAAAUGCCUCUUAUUUCAAUUUGAUCUUUUGACCUAGGAAGCCAUCAUCUGGUGCUGUGUACAGCAAGCACAUGCUUCGGGCAAGGAGGGAGCCAGCACCAUAUCUACAUCAGCAAGAACCUCGGUGCUCAAAAUAAAAAUUUUCUGUGCAAA